rnacentral:tRNA from 1 species
AAAAAGAUAAGCUAAAUUUAAGCUUAUGGGCUCAUACCCCGUCUAUGAAGGCGUUCUUUUCUCUUUUUA